rnacentral:rRNA from 1 species
GCCUACGACCAUAUCACCCUGAAUGCGCCUGAUCUCGUCUGAUCUCGGAAGCUAAGCAUGGUCGAGCCUGGUUAGUACUUGGAUGGGAGACUGCAUGGGAAUACCAGGUGUUGUAGGCU